rnacentral:rRNA from 1 species
UGGGGAAUUUUGGACAAUGGACGCAAGUCUGAUCCAGCCAUGCCGCGUGCAGGAUGAAGGCCUUCGGGUUGUAAACUGCUUUUGUACGGAACGAAAAGACUCCUUCUAAUAAAGGGGGUCCAUGACGGUACCGUAAGAAUAAGCACCGGCUAACUACGUGCCAGCAGCCGCGGUAAUACGUAGGGUGCGAGCGUUAAUCGGAAUUACUGGGCGUAAAGCGUGCGCAGGCGGUUAUGCAAGACAGAGGUGAAAUCCCCGGGCUCAACCUGGGAACUGCCUUUGUGACUGCAUAGCUAGAGUACGGUAGAGGGGGAUGGAAUUCCGCGUGUAGCAGUGAAGUGCGUAGAUAUGCGGAGGAACACCGAUGGCGAAGGCAAUCCCCUGGACCUGUACUGACGCUCAUGCACGAAAGCGUGGGGAGCAAACA